rnacentral:rRNA from 1 species
ACGGAAGGCAGCAGUGGGGAAUAUUGCGCAAUGGGGGGAACCCUGACGCAGCAACGCCGCGUGAAGGAAGAAGGCCUUCGGGUUGUAAACUUUUGUCGCAAGGGAAGAAGGAAGUGACGGUACCUUGUGAGAAAGCCACGGCUAACUACGUGCCAGCAGCCGCGGUAAUACGUAGGUGGCGAGCGUUGUCCGGAUUUACUGGGUGUAAAGGGCGCGUAGGCGGGCUGUCAAGUCAGAUGUGAAAUGCCGGGGCUUAACUUCGGAGCUGCAUUUGAAACUGACAGUCUUGAGUAUCGGAGAGGAAAGCGGAAUUCCUGGUGUAGCGGUGAAAUGCGUAGAUAUCAGGAGGAACACCGGUGGCGAAGGCGGCUUUCUGGACGACAACUGACGCUGAGGCGCGAAAGUGUGGGGAGCAAACAGGAUUAGAUACCCUGGUA